AUACGUAGGGGGCGAGCGUUGUCCGGAAUGAUUGGGCGUAAAGGGCGCGUAGGCGGCCCGGUAAGUCUGGAGUGAAAGUCCUGUUUUUAAGAUGGGAAUUGCUUUGGAUACUGUCGGGCUUGAGUGCAGGAGAGGUAAGUGGAAUUCCCAGUGUAGCGGUGAAAUGCGUAGAGAUUGGGAGGAACACCAGUGGCGAAGGCGACUUACUGGACUGUAACUGACGCUGAGGCGCGAAAGUGUGGGGAGCAAACAGGAUUAGAUACCCUGGUAGUCCACACUGUAAACGAUGAAUGCUAGGUGUAGGGGGUAUCGACCCCCUCUGUGCCGCAGUCAACACAAUAAGCAUUCCGCCUGGGGAGUACGGCCGCAAGGUUGAAACUCAAAUGAAUUGGCGGGG
rnacentral:rRNA from 1 species